ensembl:lncRNA
AUCUCUUGCUGGAGAUUCCUCCUUGAUGAAGCUUUCCCCUGUGAACCUGGAAUCUUCUGAUACGGAAUGUUUCCUCUAAGGACUCUGAAGAUCUGGAAACCUGUGUGUAUUGCACUCAAACACCUUGUAUUGAAUAGAUGUGAUCUGUGCCAACUUGCUGCAAUGCUACAUGACAUUAAGGAUAGGAAGCAAAGAUGCAAUCCUGUGCAAAUUGCAAUCCCAUUAAGUGAUUCCAGUAUCCAAGCUCUGAUCGUUUUCAACUGAUUAAAAAAAAGAAAAAAAGCUGUAAGUAGCUGCAGCUUACUUGGAUGCUGCCUGGAAGAGUUUGUAGAAGCGCUGUUGUCUUAAGGCAACAGAGAAGGCUGGAGCUGAGACUUGGCAAUGUGUAAGCUCUGGGAGUCUCUGUAGGAGCUGAAAGCCACAUAUUGCUGGAUGCCUUCAUCUCUGUGGCUUUUGUGAUGAUGUACCAGGAAUGGUGCUGUAAGCAGCCCUCUGACAGCUUCUCUGGUGUGUGAAUUCCUGAGCCGUGCUGUGCCCAUGGCCAUACUUCUGUGGGGCUCUGCUGUUCUCACUGGAGGAGCUCGGGUACAAGCUUCUCUCUAUGACUGAAAAAUAUUUGCUGCAAAAGGGUUGAGACCCAAUCAUGGGAUGUCAGUGUAGCUGUAGCCUUGGCCAGGCAGAAGUUCUUCUGUCAUGCCAAUGUCAAACCCCUGGUCCGUAGACCUCGUAGAAAUUCAGAAGGAGAUCCGCAAGUGGAGCCUUAGGCUGUCCUUGAUUUAUCUUCCAGAUUUAAAAGCAAAAAAUGAUAGUCCCAACAUCUCCAUCAGCUAGCACAGAGACUGCUUUCUUUUUGGUGCUGGUUGAGGGAUGUAUACAGCUGUGCACGGGCCUCUAAGCCUAAAAAAGAUCCUUCCAAAUAAUGGCCAGAUGAGGGUGGUUUAACCCAUGACCUGCAGCAGUCAGCAUUGCAGACUAAGGCUUAAAAUGACAUGAGGAACAACAUGGCAACUGUGAAGGUCCAGAUCCCCUUUGCACUCCAAGUGACAAGAGUUUUUUUUUUUUUUAUGCUUGUAACAUUUUAUGAUUUCCAAAAUGAAAGCUAUUGAUGGACGCUGAAGCUUUCUGAAAGGCUUUGGAGCAGAUGCUGAGCAAGGGUCUGAGGAAGGAUCAAGAUGCCAUUGCAUAAAGCUUGUCAAGCUGCUGCAGAUAUCUUGAACGGAAAUAAUUAACUCUUCAUGAAUAGUUAAACUGGGGGAGGUAAGAGGUGACUGCGUUCCGCAGCCAAAUAACUUUGUCCUGUGGGCUUUGCCACCAAGUUAGCUGCGUGUGGAAAGCAGGUCCCAUAGUUCUAGUCAAGCUGUGCAAAUACUCUGAGCACAUUUAAUAUAUGCAAAUUAAAUUAAUGUU